rnacentral:rRNA from 1 species
GCUGGAAUUGCUAGUAAUGGCAGGUCAGCAUACUGCCGUGAAUACGUUCCCGGGCCCUUGUACACACCGCCCGUCACACCAUGAGAGUUGGAAAUACCCGAAGCCUGUGAGCUAACAGUAAUGAGGCAGCAGUCGAAGGUAGAGCCAAUGAUUGGGGUGAAGUCGUAACAAGGUAAC